rnacentral:rRNA from 1 species
CAGCUUUUGACAUGUCCGGUUUGAGGAACAGAGAUGUACCUCUUCAGUUCGGCUGGCCGGAACACAGGUGCUGCAUGGCUGUCGUCAGCUCGUGUCGUGAGAUGUUGGGUUAAGUCCCGCAACGAGCGCAACCCUCGCCCUUAGUUGCCAUCAUUCAGUUGGGCACUCUAAGGGGACUGCCGGUGAUAAGCCGCGAGGAAGGUGGGGAUGACGUCAAGUCCUCAUGGCCCUUACAGGCUGGGCUACACACGUGCUACAAUGGCGGUGACAAUGGGAGGCAAUGGGGCAACCCUGCGCAAAUCUCAAAAAGCCGUCUCAGUUCGGAUUGCACUCUGCAACUCGAGUGCAUGAAGUUGGAAUCGCUAGUAAUCGUGGAUCAGCAUGCCACGGUGAAUACGUUCCC